rnacentral:sRNA from 1 species
GGUGGACCCAGGCGGCCAUGUCCCGCCCUCGCAUGCGCCUGGUGGUCACCGCGGACGACUUUGGUUACUGCCCGCGACGCGAUGAGGGUAUCGUGGAGGCCUUUCUGGCCGGGGCCGUGACCAGCGUGUCCCUGCUGGUCAACGGUGCGGCCACGGAGAGCGCGGCGGAGCUGGCCCGCAGGUGAGGGGAGGGCCUCUAGCAGGGCGGCGAUCGGCUUGGGGCGCGCGGCUCCGCGGCCGCUAGUGCUCCAGCUCGCGCUCCGCCCUCAGGCACAGCAUCCCCACGGGCCUCCACGCCAACCUGUCCGAGGGCCGCCCCGUGGGUCCGGCCCGCCGUGGCGCCUCAUCGCUGCUCGGCCCGGAAGGCUUCUUCCUUGGCAAGAUGGGAUUCCGGGAGGCGGUGGCGGCCGGAGACGUGGAUUUGCCUCAGGUGCGGAGCCGCAGCUACAGGAGGAUGCUCGCGAGGACCCCCAGAGCUCCGCCCGGAGGGUACUGUGAGGCCGUUAGGAGCUGGCGGUGGAUGACUUCCGCAUUCAAACACUGGAGCCAUCACACGGAAGCACGAGGAGGGUAUCCUCGGCAGCUACUCCCGGUCGCUCAAGGUGUCUCUCGCUCGCCCUCUAGGUGCGGGAGGAGCUCGAGGCCCAACUAAGCUGCUUCCGGGAGCUGCUGGGCAGGGCCCCCACGCACGUGGACGGGCACCAGCACGUGCACGUGCUCCCAGGUGGACAGACGCCUUCGUGGGCCUGAGCACUUGCGGCCGGCACAUGUCCGCUCACCGCGUGUCCGGGGCCCUGGCGCGGGUCCUGGAAGGUACCCUAGCGGGCCACACCCUGACAGCCGAGCUGAUGGCGCACCCCGGCUACCCCAGUGUGCCUCCCACCGGCGGCUGCGGUGAAGGCCCCGACGCUUUCUCUUGCUCUUGGGAGCGGCUGCAUGAGCUGCGCGUCCUCACCGCGCCCACGCUGCGGGCCCAGCUUGCCCAGGAUGGCGUGCAGCUUUGCGCCCUCGACGACCUGGACUCCAAGAGGCCAGGGGAGGAGGUCCCCUGUGAGGCCACUCUGGAACCCUUCCUGGAACCCUCCCUACUCUGACCCCCUACAGACAACCAAGCACUAAUCCCGUUAGUACCAAGAAAGGGGAGCCAGGAUUUAGUCCUGGCCCAGCCCAGAGCUGGGCCCUGGAGCACGAUCUGUUGACUUCCCUGGGUAGGACACUGCCACCUCUGGGCUCAGGUCCUCAUGCCUCCAAAUGGCAUCUAGAGUUUGAGCAGCCUUCUUGACUGCAGGCAGGCCCAGCCUGUGGCAGCGGGCUAGGGCCCGCAGAGCAUUUGGUGCCCCUCCAUGUUGCAAUGCAAACACCUUCACCACUGGGGCAGUGGGGAGAGAUGGCUAUAUUAAUAAAAUAACGUGUGUCUUUCAAA